rnacentral:rRNA from 1 species
GAUGAACGCUGGCGGCGUGCCUAAUACAUGCAAGUCGAGCGAACGGACGAGAAGCUUGCUUCUCUGAUGUUAGCGGCGGACGGGUGAGUAACACGUGGAUAACCUACCUAUAAGACUGGGAUAACUUCGGGAAACCGUAGCUAAUACCGGAUAAUAUUUUGAACCGCAUGGUUCAAAAGUGAAAGACGGUCUUGCUGUCACUUAUAGAUGGAUCCGCGCUGCAUUAGCUAGUUGGUAAGGUAACGGCUUACCAAGGCGACGAUGCAUAGCCGACCUGAGAGCGCGGUGGGCGACACUGGAAGUGAAACGCGGUCUAGACUCCUAGGGGAGGCCGCAGCAGGGAAUGGAGGGAGAUGGGCGGAAGCCUGAAGGAGGGGCGCCGGGCGAGUGAUGAAGGGCUGCGGAGCGUAAAACUGUCUUAUGGGGGAAGAACAUAUGCGUAAGUAACUGUGCGUAAUUUGACGGUACCUAGAGAGAAAGCCCCGGCUAACUACGUG